rnacentral:lncRNA from 1 species
UCUCUUUGUAAUGGCGGUCAGGUGUGAAGGCUGCGGCCCGGGCGCCAUCCGCCGCCAUCCGCCCGCUCUCGGCGCCUUCCCUCCGUCCGGCCCCGCCGCAUCGGUGCCUCGGGGGCUCGGCUACCGGGCGGCGGCAGCUGGGGGCGCUCGGAUGGCGGGCAGCGCGGCUGCAGGGUGACAUGGCCGCCUCCCUGCGCCUGGGUGAGAAACUAGCUGGAGUUCAAGACUGCUGCAGUCCCCGGUGUCGUCCUGGCGUGGGAGGUGGCCCUGCAGCACCAGGCAGGGUUCCUUGGUGUUUGCGAGCUCGCUCAGCUGAUGGCCUGCCUGCCGGGAUGGACUCGAGGAAUUACUCCCGUAGUGGAAGAGGCUGA